UGCGGCUGGGGCAGAAAUCCGUCUCUGUGAGCGGAGGAGGGUGUGCUUAUGCGAGAGCAGGUUUUGGGAGCUCACUAAAGCAGGUCCCUGAUUCUGGUCUUGAAUAGCGGAGGAGGAAAAGAAGAUGAUGGGGGAAAAGAAAAGAAGCCAUUUAUGCAUCCCUCCCUAAUUCAGUAUCCGAGCAUGAGGGAGUGUCAAGCUAGUGGGGAAGAAGAGAGGGUUUAGUUUUGAAUGAAGUUGGGAGUUUUUAUUAUUGCACUGAACUAAAUAGGCAUUUUACUAAAGUCAAGACUGUUCUUGUUAUUUAAAGGAACGGGAUCAUCAAUGGAACUCUUUGAGAUUUCAUCCAGAGGCUGGGAAAGAACAUUCAUGGCUACAUGGUCCAUCUGCAAGUUUUUUCAAAUUGUCACAAAUCUCCAAAAAAUGUUUCAAUAUAUUUAUUGAAAAAAGUCUAUAUAGAA
rnacentral:lncRNA from 1 species